UACGUAGGGUGCAAGCGUUGUCCGGAAUUAUUGGGCGUAAAGAGCUUGUAGGCGGUUUGUCGCGUCUGCUGUGAAAUUUCGGGGCUCAACCCCGAACUUGCAGUGGGUACGGGCAGACUAGAGUGUGGUAGGGGAGACUGGAAUUCCUGGUGUAGCGGUGAAAUGCGCAGAUAUCAGGAGGAACACCGAUGGCGAAGGCAGGUCUCGGGGCCAUAACUGACGCUGAGAAGCGAAAGCAUGGGGAGCGAACAGG
rnacentral:rRNA from 1 species